rnacentral:rRNA from 1 species
UACGGAGGGUGCGAACGUUAAUCGGAAUCACUGGGCGUAAAGCGCGCGUAGGCGGUUUGUUAAGUGGGAUGUGAAAUCCCCGGGCUUAACCUGGGAAUUGCAUUUCAAACUGGCCGACUAGAGUACGGUAGAGGGAGGUAGAAUUUCCUGUGUAGCGGUGAAAUGCGUAGAUAAUAGGAAGGAAUACCAGUGGCGAAGGCGGCCUCCUGGAUCGAUACUGACGCUGAGGCGCGAAAGCGUGGGGAGCAAACAGG